rnacentral:rRNA from 1 species
UACGUAGGUGGCAAGCGUUGUCCGGAAUUAUUGGGCGUAAAGCGCGCGCAGGCGGUCCUUUAAGUCUGAUGUGAAAGCCCACGGCUCAACCGUGGAGGGUCAUUGGAAACUGGGGGACUUGAGGACAGAAGAGGAAAGCGGAAUUCCACGUGUAGCGGUGAAAUGCGUAGAGAUGUGGAGGAACACCAGUGGCGAAGGCGGCUUUCUGGACGGUAACUGACGCUGAGACGCGAAAGCGUGGGGAGCAAACAGG